rnacentral:rRNA from 1 species
UACCGGAGGCAGCAGUGGGGAAUAUUGCACAAUGGGCGAAAGCCUGAUGCAGCUAUGCCGCGUGUAUGAAGAAGGCCUUAGGGUUGUAAAGUACUUUCAUCGGGGAGGAAAAACAAAACUAAUAAUUUUAUUUCUUGACGUUACCCGAAAAAGAAGCACCGGCUAACUCCGUGCCAGCAGCCGCGGUAAUACGGAGGGUGCUAGCGUUAAUCAGAAUUACUGGGCGUAAAGAGCACGUAGGUGGUUUUUUUAAGUCAGAUGUGAAAUCCCUGGGCUUAACCUAGGAACUGCAUUUUGAAACUGAAAUACUAGAGUAUCGUAGAGGGAGGUAGAAUUCUAGGUGUAGCGGUGAAAUGCGUAGAUAUCUGGAGGAAUACCUGUGGCGAAAGCGGCCUCCUAAACGAAUACUGACACUGAGGUGCGAAAGCGUGGGGAGCAAACAGGGAUUAGAUACC